AGAGAACUAGAAAAUGAAACUCAGCUGAAAAACGGCCACCUAAGAUGGAAGAAGCCAUGAGAUGAGUAAGCGUUGCCUACUCACAAGGUUGCAAACUGUCCUUCGCUUACGAUUAUCCCCCAACGCCCCCUCCUAAAUCUGAUCAAUCGCAUGGAACUUGAUGGUUACAAAAGACAGAGCUAACAACUAGCUACCUUGCAGGAACGGGAACGUCAUUCUGAGGGUAGUCCACAUGCAAGUGUUCUAAGGUUGACAUCACUGCUUCAUCAUUCACCUCAUUUUCCCAGAACAGAAGCACCAAGAAAAUUAUCACCAUUAUUAUCAUCAGAGUGCAGAUCCUUUUUUAAUAGCGAGAACAUUUAAAACCUACUCUUUGAAUAAUUUUGAAAUCUACAAAAUGGCAGCAUGGCCCAGGAGUGUGACUGGCAGUGAAGGAGCUGGGAAGACCUUGGAUGCAGGAAGGUCAUUUAAAGCAAAAGAUUAAGAAGCAGCAAUGCCCCUCUUGUGGCAAGAGUUGGCAGCGUGCGGUUGGUAUGUCAACGCAUCCAAGGUCCAAGGGCCUGGAUUGUCU
rnacentral:antisense_RNA from 1 species